UACAGAGGUCCCAAGCGUUGUUCGGAUUCACUGGGCGUAAAGGGUGCGUAGGUGGCGAGGUAAGUCGGAUGUGAAAGCUCGGAGCUCAACUCCGAAAUGGCAUUGGAAACUACCUUGCUCGAGGGUUGGAGGGGGGACUGGAAUUCUCGGUGUAGCAGUGAAAUGCGUAGAUAUGCGGAGGAACACCGAUGGCGAAGGCAAUCCCCUGGGCCUGCACUGACGCUCAUGCACGAAAGCGUGGGGAGCAAACAGG
rnacentral:rRNA from 1 species